UAAUGCUUCCAUUGGUCGAAGGCCAGGCCAGCGGAGACUCCCAUUGGCCGAGAACUGUGGUUCGCCGCACGGCCUACUGGGAGUUGUAGUCGCCGUGUCGCCGGUGCGGCCGCCAUUGUCCGGCGUUCGGCGAGUCGGGUGGUCCCUUUGGCUGGAGUGCCUCUGUGGUCUGGGGAUCACCUCAGGCGCUGUCCUUCACUGGGCGAUCCAGCAUGGACCCCGAGGACGAGGGGGCAGCGGGAGUGAUGUCUGUGGGGCCGCCGGCGGCCCGGCUUCAGGAACCAGUGACCUUCCGGGAUGUGGCUGUGGACUUUACCCAGGAGGAAUGGGGGCAGCUGGACCCCAACCAGAGGAUCCUCUACCGUGACGUGAUGCUGGAGACGUUUGGGCACCUGCUCUCCAUAGGUCCUGAGCUUCCGAAGCCUGAAGUCAUCUCCCAGCUGGAGCAAGGGACUGAGCUAUGGGUGGCUGAGAGAGGAACCACCCAGGGCUGCCAUCCAGGCUGGGAGCCUCGAUCUGAAAGCCAAGCAUCACGCAAGGAAGAGGGCCUUCCUGAAGAGGAGCCAUCCCAUGUCAGGGGAAGGGAAGGAUUCCCGACAGAUGCUCCUUAUCCCAGCACGUUAGGGAAAGACAGGGAGUGUCAGAGCCAGAGUCUGGCACUCAAGGAGCAGAAUAACUUGAAGCAGUUGGAAUUUGGCCUCAAGGAAGCACCAGUUCAAGAUCAAGGCUACAAAACUCUCAGACUUGGGGAAAACUGCAUCCUGAGUUCAAGCCCAAAUCCAUUCCCAGAGAUCUCUAGAGGGGAGUAUUUGUAUACUUACAACUCACAGAUUACAGACUCAGAACAUAACUCCAGCUUAGUCAAUCAGCAGACAGGCUCCCCAGGAAAACAGCCCGGUGAAAACAGUGACUGUCACAGAGCUUCCAGUCAGGCCAUUCCAGUUACGGAACUCACAAAAAGCCAGGUGCAGGACAAACCCUACAAAUGUACUGACUGUGGGAAGUCGUUUAACCAUAACGCACACCUCACCGUGCACAAGAGGAUUCAUACAGGAGAAAGACCUUAUAUGUGCAAGGAGUGUGGGAAAGCCUUCAGCCAGAACUCCUCCCUCGUCCAGCACGAGCGCAUCCACACUGGAGACAAGCCCUACAAGUGUGCCGAAUGUGGGAAGUCUUUCUGCCAUAGUACACACCUUACCGUCCAUCGGAGGAUUCACACUGGGGAGAAGCCCUACGAGUGUCAGGACUGUGGGAGGGCCUUCAACCAGAACUCCUCCCUGGGGCGGCACAAGAGGACACACACUGGGGAGAAGCCAUACACCUGCAGUGUGUGUGGGAAAUCCUUCUCUCGGACCACUUGCCUUUUCCUGCACCUGAGAACUCACACCGAGGAGAGGCCCUACGAGUGUAACCACUGCGGGAAGGGCUUCAGGCACAGCUCAUCCCUGGCCCAGCACCAGCGGAAGCACGCCGGGGAGAAGCCCUUUGAGUGCCGCCAGAGGCUGAUCUUCGAGCAGACGCCAGCUCUCACAAAGCAUGAAUGGACAGAAGCCCUGGGCUGUGACCCACCUUUGAGUCAAGAUGAGAGGACUCACCGAAGCGACAGACCCUUCAAAUGUAAUCAGUGUGGGAAGUGUUUCAUUCAGAGCUCUCACCUCAUCCGGCACCAGAUAACUCACACCAGAGAGGAGCAGCCCCAUGGGCGAAGCCGGCGGCGUGAACAGUCCUCGAGCAGGAACUCACACCUGGUUCAACAUCAACACUCAAACUCCAGAAAGAGCUCUGCAGGCGGAGCAAAGGCAGGGCAGCCGGAAAGCAGAGCCCUGGCUUUGUUUGACAUCCAAAAAAUCAUGCAAGAGAAAAACCCUGUGCACGUUAUUGGGGUGGAAGAGCCUUCUGUGGGUGCUUCCAUGUUAUUUGACAUCAGAGAAUCCACAUAGGAGAGAAACUUUGCUGAUGACUUUUAACCACAAGUAAAAAAUGUGAUCCUUUUGUCUUUGACUUCAUUUCUGCCUUCGUCCUCCUUCGUUUGAUCCAGAAGCAACCGUGACAAGUGGUGCCCGACCAGGGACCUGAACGAGGAAGGUCUGCCAGAGCAGAGAAAGUGAAACUGAUCAGACGAACUACGAACCCCUGGACGGGAGAGUCCGCCGGCGGAGAAUAUAAGGAGAUGGACAAACCGUGUGGAUGCCCUCCAGUCUAUAGGAUCAGGUGAACCACCAACCGGCAAUUGAAAGCUGCACAGCCUGAAAUUACCUUUAUUCAAUUAAUGCAAAAACAAAAGGGAGAUGUUGGAGGCCGAAGGAAUGAGGGUCGUGACCAACUCAGUAUACCACUGGAGGCUCUAUGAGCAAACAGCAAACUGUUCUCAUGAAAGCAGGAUGUUGGCAAACUGACAAACUGUGUCUGCCGCCAGAAGGAAUGCUGGGGGCAGUCAUGUCCCAGGUCCCGUGCUCCUUGAGGUUAUCCACAGGAACAUCCAGAACCUGUUGAACAAAGAAAGGAAUCAUGUGGGCCUGUGUUAAAUCAAAUAGCUGACCGACAGUUAUACCUUCCUCCCUAUUCACUCUACCUAAUAAAUACGAAGGGCUGUAAAAGCUCAGGCCUGUUCCCUAGAAUCAAGGAGCCCCCUGACCCCUUCUUUCAAAUAGAUCCUUUUGUCUUUGUCUCAUUUCUGCAUUCGUCCUCCUUCGUUCUGUCCAGAAGUAACCGUGACAGUCCUGCAUGUGUUGAUGCCACCUGUAUGUGCAGGUGUGACCUCAGGUGUGUGAAUAUCCGUUAUACUCCUUAUCAUCACUGCCUAUUCGCUCUUCCUCCAGCCUCUGGCAACCACUAAUCCACGUUAUGUGUCUAGAUUUACCUCUUCUGGACACUUCAUAUAAAUGGAGUCAUAUGAUAUGUGGUUUCUUGUGUCUGGCUUUUUACCACUGAACAUGUUUUCAGAGUUCAUCCGUGUUGUAGCAUGUAUCAGUUUUUCAUUCCUCUUUAUGGCUGAAUAAUAUUGCAUUGUAUGGAUAUACCACAGUUUGUUUACUCAAUAGUUCAUAGACAUUGGGGUUGUUUCCAACUCUUCUGAUAUUAUAAAUGCUACUGCUGUGAAAAUUCA